rnacentral:rRNA from 1 species
ACGUUAGCGGCGGACGGGUGAGUAACACGUGGGUAACCUACCUAUAAGACUGGGAUAACUUCGGGAAACCGGAGCUAAUACCGGAUAAUAUUUCGAACCGCAUGGUUCGAUAGUGAAAGAUGGUUUUGCUAUCACUUAUAGAUGGACCCGCGCCGUAUUAGCUAGUUGGUAAGGUAACGGCUUACCAAGGCGACGAUACGUAGCCGACCUGAGAGGGUGAUCGGCCACACUGGAAACUGAGACACGGUCCAGACUCCUACGGGAGGCAGCAGCA